GAUGGACCGCUCGCGCUCUCCUCCUACUUCUCCCACGAGCUCCUGGAUGCGCGGCGGCUGCACGCGCCCCUGCUGAUUGUUUCCAACGGCAGCAGCACGAGCGAAGAGUUUAACGGUUUUAACGGGAAGAAGGAGAAGAAGAAGAGGAGCACCGAGAGGAGGAGGAAGAGGAAGGGAACCACCGAGGAGAACCGUGCAGCUCCCUGUCUCUGGUGACUCAACACGAUCACACAGUCUUCUCUACGCUCCUCUCAUGCUCACUGAGAAUGGAUGAUACACAAGACUUGGUUCAGAUUGGAGAGAACAGAUUCAUUAGCAAGACAACUGUCCUCUCACAUCUUAAAACAUACAACCUGUAUUAUGAAGGACAGAAUCUACAGCUACGGCACAGAGAGGAAGAGGGGGAGCUGAUUGUCGAGGGCUUGCUGAACAUCUUUUGGGGCCUGCGGCGUCCAAUCAGGCUUCAGAUGCAGGAUGACCACGAGCGAAUACGACCACCUCCCUCCUCCACGUCCUGGCACUCCGGUUGUAAUCUGGACAGUCAAGGUUCCCCCAACAGCACAGAUGGUCAACAGACGACACAGCAGAGCCCACCUACAGUGGAAGUGACGCCACCUGAGAGCCAACCAGAGGACAACGGUGUGACGGAGGAAGAGAUAGAAGAGGACAGUGAGAGCUCCACUCAGCUGCUCAGAACGAAGAGUGAUGCCGGGGUCUUAAGACGGGGCCAGCGAAGGUCCCCCAGCGACCAGAGGAAAAUCCGCCGCCAUCGAUUCUCCAUCAAUGGGCACUUCUACAAUCAUAAGACAGCAGUGUUCACUCCUGCUUAUGGUUCAGUCACUAAUGUUCGCAUCAACAGCUGCAUGACCACACCUCAGGUGCUACGAGUUCUCCUCAACAAGUUUAAAAUUGAAAACAGCCCAGAUGAUUUUGCCCUCUACCUCGUCCAUGCAAGUGGAGAGCGAGUGAAACUGAAGAGGACUGACUAUCCCCUGGUGCUGAGAAUAAUGCAGGGUCCAUGUGAGCAGGUCUGCAAAGUUUUCCUCAUGGAGGAAGACCUGGGAGAAGAAGUCACAUAUGAUGUGGCGCAGUAUAUCAAGUUUGAGAUGCCUGUCCUGCAGAGUUUCAUCACCAAACUGAAAGAAGAGGAGGACAGAGAGGUGCAGAAACUCAGGAGAAGAUAUAAUUACCUGCGGUGUAUAAUUGAGAAGAAGCUCAGUUGUUUUCCAGAGGGAGCGACGUGUAUGUGAUCAACUCACGAUUGCAGACAUGAAGUGACAGAAAUCAUGAGAAGAGCUGCCUGUCGUGUUCCUCGGAGUGAGUUUCACCUCAAUAAUAAGGUGAGUGUACCAACAGCUACAUAACAUUGCAGUCCAGUGAGUUCAGACUUCAGUGUCUUAAUAACUGGGCUCUCAAAACAACAUUUAGAAUGCUUUUUGUUCACUCUUACAAUAUAUUUUCUUUCACGUCUGUGUUGUGUACAUAAUUGUUUAUUUACUUGUGUGUGUGUACUAUGCAUGUGGCUGGAAAAGAACUCAUACAGGUGCAGUGUGGGUUCUCCAUUUAACUUGUACAAUGAUACAAAGUUUGAUUUUUGAUGAAGCUGUUUAUAUCACUGCAUUAAUUCAGCACUAUUGAUCAUGUGACAGUGCUGCAUUUUAAAAAAGACUGUGCACAAGAAACAUACUUAGUGCAGUUGGGCAAAUGCAAAUUUCAAUAAUUAAUAGUCAUUUUACCAUUUCAAAAACAAGUCACAUAUUGGAUGUGUUAGCUGAGAAUAACUGGAGACAUCCUCAGACAAAAUGCGUAUUAGUCAGGGGGUGUGCAUGUAAAUGGUGGAUUGGCUCCCCCUUCUGACAGCGAGAGUAGCAACACAGUGUAGACACAUACUUAUGACAUAUUACACGUCGCCUUCGAUCGCUUAUAUGUCACACUGGUGUUCCUGACAUUUAGCCGGUCUGACUGUGUGUUUUAGGCACUGAGAGAGACGAAAUUACUCUUUUCAAUUUAGAUAAAUCUGACUGCAGUGAAGCAGUGGGGGUCAGAGAUGAUAAUAGUAAAUUUUAAUACUGCUAAUAAUACCUAGGAGGCGCUAGUCUUCACUAACUUUAAAUCCCAGAUCAACCUCAUGAAAAACAACAGGUUAAAUGUAUAAAACAUUUACCUGCACCUUUAUUCAUGUUUAAAAGAAUUUAAAUGGUGUGAUAAGAAAUUACCAGUGUGUGUGGGACCUGACCAAAAAGGUAAGUAUUGUGUGCUGGUGCACCUAAGAGCCCAGUCUUUUUUCAGACUCUUAUCCUUAUUUUGAAGAUUGAGUGUCUCUGAAUCAUCGGAUUUUUUCUUAAAGGCUUGUUUGGUUUCUCUACCAAACUCUUAGCUGCUGUACUUUACACUGUCUCCAUUGCAAAAGUUGCACCUCUACCACCGCUCUGGCAAAUCAAUCAUUGUUGGCUGAUGUAAAACUUCACCACUGAUGUACCAGAGCUGGAGUGUUGCCACAAAGACCAGAUUUAAGAUUCUGGCCUGUCACAAAAUACAGAGAUUUACCUCCUGCUGACAGUUAAUCAGCAUUGUGUGAAAUCGUUUGGCAAGUGCUCGAAUGUAACAGACAGAAGCGGUGUUACAUAAGAUUUCACUAAUAGCGUCUUGAAAAAAAAAGGAGAGCCAAGUGUCAGAAAAUAGACGUUUAUCCUUCCAUGGUUAGACGUUGGCACAGUGAAUAAAUAGAAACAAGUAAAGAAAGGACAGUGGCCUGAAUAGAAGUGAGAGUUGUAUAAUUGGUGACUGGACAAUUAAGAGUUCAGAUCUUCCUUUUGAAUAGAGACAUUACAAGUGCAAUUACAAUCUUCUACAGAGAGUGCUGCAUUAUGGAGUGUUUGUAGCUUUAAUACUGCUAAAGUAGAAAGUGCUUUCUAGUCUGUUUAUUCAGUUUUUUGGAGGUUCAAUUUGCAGGAGCUUGUGAAGGCUCCUGUAAUGUUUUUCUGUCACGGAGUAACUAAUUAAUGCUUCUUGCAGAAAUGAAGCAGGGAGAAAUAUCUAAUGAAGCCAACAGCUAAGAAUCUAGGCUGUCACAGAACAUCUUGCUGUCAGAAUAAUUUAUAAGAAGCUACAAUAUCAUUAAAAAAUCCAUACACAGCGUCUUUAAAUGUGUAUUGGUGUCUUGUAGUAUCCCCCUAAAUAACUGGCUGAGCUCUUGUAAGCCAGUCAUAGGUCUGUAUUUAUCAGGUAUUUUUAAACCUCACACAGAUUAUCUUGAUGCUGUACAGUUCCUAGUUUGCCUGUAGCUUUCUGAAUUGGUGAUGGUCACUCUGUCAAGCUCCUAAUGAUUAGUUUUAUGGAUCGAAACUAAUCGCAUUUCCAAGAAGUCUCUGUUCUUUCUCCAUUGUAUUCAAAUAGUUUCUGUUCUCCAGAAAGGUACCUCUGUCCUGCUGUGAGAGAUUAGCACAUCAUGUGAGAGAGAUCAAAGCAGGAAGAGCUAACUGGAUUACAAAACCCCAUACUGGUUUCAGUGGAUUCUGCAGGUUUAAGACACUGCAGUUGCUCACCUGAAGGACUUCAGCAGGAGUCAGAGGUUUGUCCGACACCACGGGAGCCUUGUCUCUCAUCUCCUCCACCUAAAAGGGACAGAGAAAAAUAGGACAAAUACACAGUUUGGUUAUUUUGUGGAUCCAAAAAGUAAACUUUUCAUGGGCACAGAGCAACAGGUCCGUUUCUGGAUAUGUGAGAAAGACAUUUUUAGACAACCUGCCGGGGUUUAUAUGUUGUAUUUAAAUGCCUUGCAGAGAGUUAAAAUGAGAAUAUUGAUCACUCCUACAUCAGUACAGAACAGUUAGCAGCAGUAGCACAAAGACUGGAAAGGGGGGAACGUGUAAAUGUUGCUUUCUCUGUAAAAAAAUAUAUAAAUGUGCAUGGCUGGGCUGAUUAAUGAGUGAGCUUUCAGUGAUUUUGUUACCACUAGAUGAAGCCAAAUUGGCUGUUUUCCCUCUUUUUCCAGUCUUUGUUAAGCUAACUGAUGGCUGCAGCAUCAUUUUCCCGUACAACCUUGAUUCUUAGCUUCCAGCAAGAGAGCAAAUAAACGCAUUUUCCCAAAAAGAUGAACAGGAACAUUUGGCAUCUGGACAAAUACAGUCAAGAUCGGUGACUCAUAUUCUGCAAUUAUAUAUGUAGCUUGUAACAUAAUAUAUAAAAAUUAUAAACAUUAAAACAUUCAACUAUAGAGAGGUGAACUCCCAUCCCUUUUCGCAAAAAAAAGUGCAGACAAAUAAUAUUUUGACUGUAUUUGAAUUGCACCAUGAAUUACAGAUUUGCCAGUUUAAAAGACAAUCUUGCAAGAAAGAAAGUUGUGGUUUGUCUUAAAACUGUUUUAAGUAUUAGACUGUGAAAAUAUGUGAUUAGAAUUAGAAAGACAGCUCGCCCCAAAGUGACAUCAUCGUAAUUUUAGCUGCUGAGGAUCGAGAGACAGAUUUACUCCAUUCUUACAACCGUCGCUUUCAACAUGACCAGACUUGUGGGGAUUUUUUUGAGAAUAAUUUUUUUUUCUUAUUCUGGAAGAACAAAGUGAAAUGUGUCAAACGAGACGAGAUAACUUUAUUUACAAGUUACUUGUUGUGAAGUCCUGUAGUGGCAUCCUAUUAUUAGAUGAAGAUGAUGCUUUAUUGAUCCUCAGGAGGAAAUUUACAAACUACUCUGCAGUAAAUACUAAAAUUAGCUUUAGUUUAAGUAUAUAUUGAUGCAAGUACUCCUGUACUUUUACUGAAGCAACAAUCUGCAGGUCUUUUCCUCUUUACAGAAUAUUUGUUUACCACUGCUCCCGCCUCCAAAGUGUCAAGAUGUUUUUUGUACACUUGACAAUUUGUGCUCUCUUGCGAGGACUGUUUUCCACUCAUGUUCUGUGAUCUUGUAUCAUGUGCACAUGCCUGGUUUUGAUGUGGAGAGGUUCUGAGUCUAAUAAAAGACCCUAAUCUUAUCCUGUUCUGUGUGAGUGUUUCAGCAGCGCACUGACCGGCCUGUCUUUGAUGAUGAGAGCUGGGUCCGCCAACAUGUCAGUACUGACCGACGGUGUGUUUGCUCCUGAGUUUUCUACUGGGGGAGGAGCAGCAGUCUUCUGCAAAAAUCGUAAAAAACAUCAGGUAAGACCAACAUCUUGCACCUAACUACACGAUAAAGCUGCUCUAGUUUACUUCUUCUUCAGUGGUGGAAUUUGUUUCCCUCAGAAAUGUGUUAUACUUAUUGGUCAAUGAAAAGUUUUACACUUCGUCUAAAAAAAUAAGAACAUUUUAAAUAUAUAUGUUAUAAAGGAUUCACAAGGGUCCAGUUAAAAUGAACAAGGGUUGGCUGAAAGACAAUUUAUUAUGAUCGUAAAUUUUUAACCAAAAACACCAAAUAUUUUCCUGUCUCAGCUUUAAUUUUUUCGUAAAUUUUCAUAAUAGUGCAGAAGAUAUAUUUACAUAUUGGACUAUUGCUAAAAUCAUAUUAUAUUAUUCAAGGUUGCUUCUCCCAGCUCUGGGAAGUUAUUACUGGCAUUUUUUACUGCGUCGUUCAGGCUAAAUCUCCCAUCAAUUACUGAACUUAAUUUGCUAAUAAUGAAUUGGAAGUUCAGAAAAAAAUGUUUUUUUCCCUCAUGGGUGCAAAGACUGAAUGUACAAAGCGUCAGUGACCUGCAUAGCAGCUAUUUAACAGCAGGAAUGUUAAGCAGCGUACAGCUUGCUCUAAUCAAGACAUUCAAUGCAGCCCUAAGAUUAUAAGUGGACUGUAAAGGUCGAACCUCUAGUUUGGGAACAGGUGGGAUGACGGGGGGUUUUGGUUUGAGGUCUGUCAGGUACAUGGCUCUGGAGAGCAGCAGCAGCGAUGGAGGAACGUUCUCCUUCAGGUGCAGGUCCAGCCACUAGAGGAAAGGAACAUUUAUGAAAGAUGAUCAAUGAAAAGGCGGUAAAGUAUGCGUUUUUAACAAACACGUCUGUUCCAAGUGAAGCUACAAAUUCCCACAAAUGCAAAUGAUACUGUAUGUUUUGAUAAAUGAAAAUGAAAAUUCACUGGUUAAAAGAUUUGUAUUCAGUGGAAUCUUAGAUUAGUUUCUGUCAAGCCAUAACAAGCUACAUUUAGCUGUUCACCUGCUGCAGCUGCUGACGUAGCUGAUCAGUGGUGAGGCCCAGAGACCUCAUCCCACGACUACGACACGCCGCCUGCAACUCUGACACACUCAUGGCUGGCACACCCUCUGCUGCAAUCAUCUGUGAAGAAACAGAGCGAGGAGGUAAAAAAAACUGUUGCACAAGCAUAAAAUCUGAUGACAUUUCUGCACCAAAAGUGACAACAAAAGAAGCCAGAAUUUCUUCUGUGUCUCUGAGUUUAUACCAUUACUUUCACACUUUCACUGUGGGGACAUUACUGCUAUGUUUCAGGGUUCCUGCCUUUAAGGGUGCCAUACGCUUUUAUUAAUUCUACAACAAUAUUCACAAAAUCAGUUUACAGAGACUUGGAACUUCCUUCACACACAGCAGUCCCAGCCUUGGCUCAUGUAUUAGCUGCAAUGUAUAUAUUUGAUUUGGACACUGAAGAACUUUACAUGACGUAUCUACAGGAAAGCAGAAUGCUAUCCAAGUCAAUGCACCACUUUUUCCUAAUGGCAUCAGGCACGUUUGUAAACUGCCAUUUUAUUUAAUUUCAAUCUUCAGGUGGCAUUCCUGUCCCUAACUUCAAACUCCAAAAAUUCCUGGAGAAUCCCUGCAUUUUUAAGAGUUUUUUUCCAGCUGUCUUUUUUAAUCACCUUGUCAGACCACAUUUCACUUAACACCUUGGUCUCCUCCUCCUUCUCCAGACCGCCUACUUUACUUUCCUAUAAUUGGUCCUGAAGUCCCAACCAUACAAAAGAUAUUUCCACACUAGAAAUGGACUGAACCACUGUUCAGUCUGAGCAGGACUAACACCAACACAGUUUCAUCGGAUCAAUGAUUGACUGUUCAAAUCAAACUGGAAAGUCUGAAAAGCCGGACCAAAUGAGUUAGGUAUGAAAGGCCCUUAGUCGCCUUCAUUUCUUGCCAAAACUGUAUUAGUGUGAUGUGCUGAGACAAGUAAAAGUAAAGACUGUCAUGAAAAUUUCUUUCAAAAAAUGGCAGAAAAAAAUCUGGAGUCUACAGCGACUGAUCAUUUAUCAGCCUAUAACCGUAUCAUCAAUGUGACAUCUACAGUAUAUCUGCCUGAAAGAUAGUUUCCAGAAUACAGCAAAUCGUGCAAUCUACUAGCAUUUUAAACUUUGAGCAUCUCCUCCUCUCAUGACUACAAAAUUCUGCUGGCAGUUCCUGAGCCACUAAACUACCAGGUACCAGCCCUCUGUUUCACCUCAUCAUCCGACUUGAUUGUUCUGAGUUGCAUCAUCAGCUGAAAACGCAGCAAAUUGUUGGUGCCGAUGGGCUGCAGCUCCAGCAGUUUGCACAGAGCCACCAGCUGGGGGCGCUCCAGGUGCUCCAGCGUCAGCUCGUCCUCAAAUAGCUUCGAAAACCGGACGAUGUCCUUCGUGGUCGGCUGCUCCCCCGUCACCCGAACCUGAAAACAACACAGUCGUUAACGUGAAGCAAUGAAACAAUCCCCUCCUAAUGUCACACAGCUUGGCUAUCAGUGGUCAAAACUGAAGCAUUUCAUAUCAGAGAUGCUCUUCUCCAACACUUUUUAAAAUGUUCUCAUUAAUAUUGCUUUUUACGUUAAUUAUAACCAAUCUUCUAUGCAUCUUAGAUAAAAUCAUAUACAAUUCAGUUUAUUUACUGAACCUAGUAACUUUUUAAAAACAUAGCAGGCAACAGUCAAACUUUAAAAACAGUACAGCUCCAAAGAAACAGCAUUGAAAAUGAACUUAACCAUGAGCUACACAAUGUGUGACAAACAAUGUGAAGAGUUAUCUUUGCAGUAACCCACCUGUUGAACAUAUGUGGAAAAGCGCUGCGUCUCAUCCUCUGUCUGAACUUUUGCUUUAUUCCUUCGGGCCAUUUCAGCAAUGGUCUCUUGGAGAAACUUGGCCAGUUCCAACUUUGCAGCUAGACCCUUCUUCUGCUUCUCCUCCUGCACAAAGAGGACAGAAGAGGCCGGAGCACGAGAGCAUAUCUGUGAACCAUUCAGCUGUGAUCCAGAACAACCAGAGAUCCUCAGAGUUAACAGGUUGGACGCACCCACACAGAAAUCUACUACUUCUUUUAUUUUCCAGGAGAUGUAAUGUGAAUGCCAUAUUAUUGGUAUAAUUACAAUACAUUUUGCUACAGGGAAACACACAUGUUAGUGUGGCUAACUGAGCACCUGCUGAGGCUGUGUAUAACAGAUCAUGAACGACAACAUAGCAGAAAACUAAGUGAAUAAUAUAAAAUAUGUGUUCAUAUAUGAAGUUAGAAUUGCUGGCAUAUACUGUACAUUAACAAACACCUGUAAAAGUCAGUGUAUCUGUUAGUACUACUGCACUGAAUGCUUCUAUAAGUGGCAAACCUGAAUCAGGUCCCGAAGUAAAUUGCCGAGAUUAGAUAAGUCAGCUGCCUUUUACAUGAACAAAAGGUUCCUGGUACAGCAGCCACAUCUGAGAGGAGGUUACAUAAUCACAAUGAACACUGUCGCGAGGUCAUGCAGGUGGCAGGGUGUGUGCGUCUGUCUGUGUGUAUAUGAACACAUGCCUUUUUGGACUCUGUCUCGAAGGUGGAGGGCAACAUCUCUGGGAAGAGUUUGAGGAAGACUGGAAGGAGGAACUCCAUGAAAGGAACGAUGAUAAACACCAUGAAGGGCACCAGACGGAAGAGGUCAGCACAGGUCCUCAUCAGCUGUAAACACAAAGAAACACAAUGCUGAUGUUACAAAACAGGGGACAGUCAUUUCAUGUCACUGCGCUGCUGUUAGGCCCCAAGGCUGGAGAGUGGGGUUUGCCUGCAAGAUCCAUUACAUGUGCCUGCUGGCCCUCUUCUAAAAUAGCCCAAAUAUAGUUUCACCAAGGCAUGUGCACAGCGUGAAACUCUGCAUGUGCAUAUGUGUGCACCAACCAGUCAACAGGACACACAGUAACAGUAUGUCCUUUCUCAAAGCUCUAUCAGGGCUAUGUCUUCAUGAAGCUGCAGAUAGCUUAUCUCAAAUAUGCUGAAUAUGUUCUAUAAUGAAAUAGGAAGAACUUUUCAGCACAGUCAUAUCUAGUGUGUAAAAGCGAGUGACUAACUAGGUGUAACUUUUCGUAGUCAGGAAGAGCAAAGUGACACACAAAAUUCAUGAUUACUGACAGUGAAACUGCUCAUGUAAAACUUUGUUUAUCCAUGUGUACAUGCACAACGUAGAGUUUGGAAAGUAAUGAUCUCGCACCUCAAUUUGAACAAAAAUGCCAAUAUACUGGUUUCUUUACCUUUGGUUAACACUAACAAUUACAAGUUUACAACUUAGCAUUGCCUCGCCGCUUCAUUGACAUGUCACAGCAUCUGCUGUGUCCAGUAUUACUCAGUCCAUGGCAUCUGCAGUUUAUAGACGAUAAAAUAGCAGUCGCCUCUGUUAUGGUUUGAUUUAUCUUUGAAGCAGAAUGGACUGACAAACUUGUUGGAGCAUUUGUAGUCGUUUUUGUAUGUACGGAGAUAUUUUGUCGAACAAUGUUUGUCUGGACAUUGGUGGAGAAUAUUAAUCUAGAUAAA